rnacentral:piRNA from 1 species
UGACUUUUGCAGGCAAAUGGAUGGACC